UUCCUGGUGGUCUAAUGGCUAAGAUUCUGUGUUCCAAUUGCAGGGGCCCAGGUUCAAUCCCUAGUCAAGGAA
rnacentral:tRNA from 1 species